UACAGAGGUCCCAAGCGUUGUUCGGAUUCACUGGGCGUAAAGGGUGCGUAGGUGGUGGGGUAAGUUUGAUGUGAAAGCUCCGGAGCUAACUCGGAAAUGGCAUUGAAUACUAUCCUGCUUGAGGUUUGGAGGGGGGACUGGAAUUCUCGGUGUAGCAGUGAAAUGCGUAGAUAUCGAGAGGAACACCAGUGGCGAAGGCGAGUCCCUGGACAACACCUGACACUGAGGCACGAAAGCUAGGGGAGCAAACAGG
rnacentral:rRNA from 1 species